rnacentral:rRNA from 1 species
GACGAACCGUGCGAACGUUGUUCGGAUUCACUGGGCUUAAAGGGCGCGUAGGCGGCUUGCCAAGUCAGGGGUGAAAUCUUUCGGCUCAACCGGAAAACAGCUUCUGAUACUGGCGGGCUUGAGGGAGGUAGGGGCGGAUGGAACUUCCGGUGGAGCGGUGAAAUGCGUAGAUAUCGGAAGGAACGCCGGUGGCGAAAGCGAUCCGCUGGACCUCCUCUGACGCUGAGGCGCGAAAGCCAGGGGAGCAAACGGG